AACGUAGGGGGCGAGCGUUGCCCGGAUUCACUGGGCGUAAAGCGGGUGUAGGCGGUUCCUUAAGUCAGAUGUGAAAUCCUGCGGCUCAACCGCGGAACUGCAUCUGAUACUGGGGAACUUGAGGACGGUAGAGGUCGGUGGAAUACCCUGUGUACCGGUGAAAUGGGCAGAUAUAGGGUGGAACACCAGUGGCGAAGGCGGCCGACUGGGCCGAUCCUGACGCUGAGACCCGAAAGCCAGGGUAGCGAACCGG
rnacentral:rRNA from 1 species